rnacentral:rRNA from 1 species
GAUGAACGCUGGCGGCGUGCCUAAUACAUGCAAGUCGAGCGAACGGACGAGGAGCUUGCUUCUCUGAUGUUAGCGGCGGACGGGGGAGUAACACGUGGAUAACCUACCUAUAAGACUGGGAUAACUUCGGGAAACCGGAGCUAAUACCGGAUAAUAUUUUGAACCGCAUGGUUCAAUAGUGAAAGACGGUCUUGCUGUCACUUAUAGAUGGAUCCGCGCUGCAUUAGCUAGUUGGUAAGGUAACGGCUUACCAAGGCAACGAUGCAUAGCAGACCUGAGAGGGUGAUCGGCCACACUGGAACUGAGCCACGGUCCAGACUCCUACGGGAGGCAGCAGUAGGGAAUCUUCCGCAAAGGGCGAAAGCCUGACGGAGCAACGCCGCGUGAGUGAUGAAGGUCUUCGGAUCGUAAAACUCUGUUAUUAGGGAAGAACAAAUGUGUAAGUAACUAUGCACGUCUUGACGGUACCUAAUCAGAAAGCCACGGCUAACUACGUG